UACGUAGGCAGCGAGCGUUGUUCGGAGUUACUGGGCGUAAAGGGUGUGUAGGCGGUUUUCUAAGUCUGGUGUGAAAUCUCCCGGCUCAACUGGGAGGGUGCGCCGAAAACUGGAAGGCUAGAGUGCGGGAUGGGUAAGUGGAAUUCCUGGUGUAGCGGUGAAAUGCGUAGAUAUCUGGAGGAAUACCGGUGGCGAAGGCGGCAUCCUGGACCGACAUUGACGCUGAACGGCGAAAGCUAGGGGAGCAAACGGG
rnacentral:rRNA from 1 species